UACAGAGGUCCCAAGCGUUGUUCGGAUUCACUGGGCGUAAAGGGUGCGCAGGUGGGUUGGCAAGUUCGAUGUGAAAGCCCCGGGCUUAACCCGGGAAUGGCAUUGGAAACUGCUGAUCUGGAGGAUCGGAGGGGGGACUGGAAUUCUUGGUGUAGCAGUGAAAUGCGUAGAUAUCAAGAGGAACACCAGUGGCGAAGGCGAGUCCCUGGACGAUACCUGACACUGAGGCACGAAAGCCGAGGGAGCAAACAGG
rnacentral:rRNA from 1 species